rnacentral:lncRNA from 1 species
GUUUAUUCAUUUUAUUAAGACGUUUGAUACACAAAUAAAAUAUCAAUUUUUCAAAAGACAACAUACAAAUACAUAUGGUAUAAUUUGAGUUUGGUCAAUGCGCCAUAAAAGGAAAGAUGGAAUUCCCUGUGCCACGUGAACAAUGCAUUUAUUUUCAAUUAGAGCAGCCAUUUUGUUAAGAUGACAGACUCUAACAAUGUUAACAAUCCUGAGGGGUGACAUUCUGUGUAGACAGACUCAUUAAACACAGGUGCAUCCAAGCUCCGUUAUCUAAGGCCUUAUGUCUAACACAGCAGCCCAGUACAGAUCACUAUGAGGAAAAGGACUUUAUGUCGUUGCUUUCGUUUCAGAAAAAAAUAGAUAACAUAAAAAGGUAUUCCUGUGAAUAAAAUUCCUGUGGAGGGAACUGUGUGUGUGUGGGGUGACUUAAUGGUUAACUAGGGUUUAAAUACAGUACUUGGCCACUUUAUUCUUCCUCUCUCUCCAGGGAAGUUUUAAUGUAUUCAGGUUGUAUGUAUUCUAUUAGUUACAAAAUAUGUGACCGACUACCUCGAUUCAAUCUUUUGUAGCAACAUUUGAAAUUGUGUUUUUUACAUUGGAUAAAAUUAGAGACUCAGAUGUACAACAUUGAAAAUCAUACACAAUGGUUGAGGAACAAUGGGAAAGUAAUUAUUUGCAAGUUGAUAAAGUAGUAACCACACUUUUGAGAAAAUGGCCCUUGAAUGUUUUGAUAACCCUACUAGAGAGCUCUUCUUUGAUUACACCUAUUUAGCAUCAUUCACACCCUCUUAAGCCUUAGACCCAGCCAUCAAUUUAUGGAUUCACAUGUGAGGCCAUGUGCUAAACAGAGUGAGUAAGGUAGUAGCCUAAAAUAAAACACUCCGGGUAAAAAUACACUUUAUCUACUAGCAAUACAAACUGAUUGUCAUAGCCAGCCACCAUGCAUGAAAUGCUGUAGUAUGAAUCUGCAGGUAGCUAAAACUAACCAACUAGCUGAAAAUGUAGCUAGACUCUUAACCGUACACAUGGAUGAACGCUUCAUGGCAGACUAGAAGCCCUUUAUUUCCGUUUUUUUGUACAGC